GGUCACGGUUACUAGAAAUUUCCCUCUCUCUCUAAACCUCUACUGCCGCCUCCCUCCCUCACACUCCACCGGCAGCGGUAUCCCCCAUUCGACCGUCCUCCACCAGUGCGGCGUCGCCCUUUCUGCCGUCUUCCACCGGCGCGGCGUCGCCCUUUCAGCCCUCCUCACUUCAUCCACCGGCGCGGCGUCCCUACUUUCGCCCUUGGCCCCUCAAUCGGCAUUCCUGCUUUGCCGGCGCGACUUGCCAAUAGUCGGCCUUCCACCUUCAGCAGCAAGCAACUCCUCCAUUCUCCUCCGCCAAUUCGGCGCGACACAGCACACAUACGUGGGCUUUUGGAUUUGAAGCUUCUCAUGGAAUGAAAGAAGAUAAAAGAUCGCAACUUUGAGGUAAAACUAUCUCUACUUGAUUUGAAUUAGGGAAGUUUUCUCAGCUUGCAAGAAACUUUUUUGCCAGAGCAAUGAGAGGAAACUUUUGUUGUGUUUCAAGAAAUGGAGUUUAAUAAUGUCCAGCCAGAUUCAGUAGCUCUUACACGAGCCUUCAAUCGAGGAUCUCAACUAGGAAAAGCCCUGUUUCUGCAUGUACUAUCUUGCCAAACUGAAAUGCCUUAAUUGAAGUUAUCAAAAUAAUAGAGACUUCUCUUCCUCGUAUCUCGGUUGGAACUCUGAACCAUCUUCUUCAUUUUUUAUGGCAAAGUAGGAAAGAUUGGCACCAUGAUGAAGGUUAAGAUAUUCAAGUUGAAAAGUGGUUCCGAUGAGAGUUGUAUUACAGGGAGAAGUUGACCUGACCACCUAUGCAGUAUUAUUGAAGAAUCUUUUAGCUGCUGAGAAUUGGAGAUAAUAUGUUGGGAUAAAUCUAAAUCCUUAUACAUAAUGUGCCAUUCGAAGAUCCUUUCUCCACCACGAAUCUUAUGGCUUGCGACCAUCCAAAACGAGCUAUUUCUGGUGUUAAGCAUCAUAACUGGAAAAUGACUUGAUGGAGGAACUAGGAGUUCCACCUUCCCUUCAAAUGUACAAGGACUUGACAUUUUUUACACCUUCCAGCUCUCCAAGUUUAUUUGAUAUUGUUGGAGUUCGUGUUGAGUGGGGAAGCAUGCUGCUGGAACACGUAUAGUAUGAUAGAUUUUUGUUUUAGCUAUGCAAUACGCCAAUACUUAGUACUUUAAAUUUUGAAUCGAUAUUAUUGUAUUGAUUAUAUUUAUAUGUAUUCGAUAGUUUGUAAUUUUAGGUAUGAAAUUUGUAUUAAUACUUGCUACAAGAUUGUCGAAUAAAAUAUUUUAAUUAUGAAUGCAA